UACGAAGGGGACUAGCGUUGUUCGGAAUUACUGGGCGUAAAGCGCACGUAGGCGGAUUUGUAAGUCAGGGGUGAAAUCCCGGGGCUCAACCUCGGAACUGCCUUUGAUACUGCAAGUCUCGAGUCCGGAAGAGGUGAGUGGAAUUCCUAGUGUAGAGGUGAAAUUCGUAGAUAUUAGGAAGAACACCAGUGGCGAAGGCGGCUCACUGGUCCGGUACUGACGCUGAGGUGCGAAAGCGUGGGGAGCAAACAGG
rnacentral:rRNA from 1 species